rnacentral:tRNA from 1 species
AGUCCCGUAGUGUAGUGGUCAAUCAUCUGGCACUUUGGAUGCUAGGACGGCGGUUCGAAUCCGCCCGGGACUA